rnacentral:rRNA from 1 species
UACAGGGGGGGCAAGCGUUGUUCGGAAUUACUGGGCGUAAAGGGCUCGUAGGUGGCCAACUAAGUCAGACGUGAAAUCCCUCAGCUUAACUGGGGAACUGCGUCUGAUACUGGAUGGCUUGAGUUUGGGAGAGGGAUGCGGAAUUCCCAGUGUAGCGGUGAAAUGCGUAGAUAUUGGGAGGAACACCGGUGGCGAAGGCGGCCCUCUGGACCGAAACUGACACUGAAGCGCGAAAGCUAGGGGAGCAAACGGG